rnacentral:rRNA from 1 species
UACGUAGGGGCAAGCGUUGUCCGGAAUCAUUGGGCGUAAAGCGCGUGUAGGCGGCCCGGUAAGUCCGCUGUGAAAGUCCAGGGCUCAACCCUGGGAUGCCGGUGGAUACUGUCGGGCUCGAGUCCGGAAGAGGCGAGUGGAAUUCCUGGUGUAGCGGUGAAAUGCGCAGAUAUCAGGAGGAACACCAAUGGCGAAGGCAGCUCGCUGGGACGUGACUGACGCUGAGACGCGAAGCGUGGGGAGCAAACAGG